rnacentral:rRNA from 1 species
GAUGAACGCUGGCGGCGUGCCUAAUACAUGCAAGUCGAGCGAAGCGGGGACGGGUGAGUAACACGUGGAUAACCUCCUAUAAGACUGGGAUAACUUCGGGAAACCUGAGCUACACCGGAUACUUAUAUAUGGAUCCGCCCUGCAUUAGCUAGUUGGUCAGGUAACGGCUUACCAAGGCAACUAUGCAUAGCCGACCUGAGAGGGUGAUCGGACACACUGGAACUGAGACACGGUCCAGACGCGUACGGGAGGCAGCAGUAGGGAAUCGUCCGAAAUGGGCGAAAGCCUGACGGAGCAACGCCGCGUGAGUGAGGAAGGUCUUCGGAUCGUAAAACUCUGUUAUUAGGGAAGCGGUACCUAGUCAGAAAGCCACGGCUAACUACGUGCCAGCCGCCGCGGUAAUUC